GAGUGUGAGAGUGGAAAGUUCACACUGUGACGGUAUCUUACCAGAAAGGGACGGCUAACUACGUGCCAGCAGCCGCGGUAAUACGUAGGUCCCGAGCGUUGUCCGGAUUUAUUGGGCGUAAAGCGAGCGCAGGCGGUUAGAUAAGUCUGAAGUUAAAGGCUGUGGCUUAACCAUAGUACGCUUUGGAAACUGUUUAACUUGAGUGCAAGAGGGGAGAGUGGAAUUCCAUGUGUAGCGGUGAAAUGCGUAGAUAUAUGGAGGAACACCGGUGGCGAAAGCGGCUCUCUGGCUUGUAACUGACGCUGAGGCUCGAAAGCGUGGGGAGCAAACAGGAUUAGAUACCCUGGUAGUCCACGCCGUAAACGAUGAGUGCUAGGUGUUAGACCCUUUCCGGGGUUUAGUGCCGCAGCUAACGCAUUAAGCACUCCGCCUGGGGAGUACGACCGCAAGGUUGAAACUCAAAGGAAUUGACGGGGGCCC
rnacentral:rRNA from 1 species